CGGAUGAACGCUGGCAGUGUGCCUAAUACAUGCAAGUCGUACGGGAUCCGAGGUAGCAAUACUUUGGUGAGAGUGGCGCACGGGUGCGUAACACGUAUGCAACCUACCUAUAACCGGGACACAACCUCGAGAAAUUGAGGCUAAUAUCCCAUAACACUGCGAGAUGGCAUCAUUUUGCAGUUAAAACUCCGGUGGUUAUAGAUGGGCAUGCGCGACAUUAGCUAGUUGGUGAGGUAACGGCCCACCAAGGCUACGAUGUCUAGGGGUUCUGAGAGGAUUAUCCCCCACACUGGUACUGAGACACGGACCAGACUCCUACGGGAGGCAGCAGUAAGGAAUAUUGGUCAAUGGGCGCAAGCCUGAACCAGCCAUGCCGCGUGAAGGAUGACGGCCCUAUGGGUUGUAAACUUCUUUUGUACGGGAAAAAACCUCUGGUCGAGAAUCAGAGCUGAUGGUACCGUAAGAAUAAGCAUCGGCUAACUCCGUG
rnacentral:rRNA from 1 species